UACAUGUGGGGCAAGCGUUGUUCGGAAUUACUGGGCAUAAAGGGUGCGUAGGCGGCUUGUUAAGUCGCUGGUGAAAGUUUUCGGCCCAACCGGAAAAUUGCCCGUGAUACUGGCGAGCUUGAGUGCGUGAGGGGUAGGGGGAACGAGCAGUGUAGCGGUGAAAUGCGUAGAUAUUGCUCGGAAGGCCGGAGCCGAAGGGGCCCUACUGGUACGUAACUGACGCUGAGGCACGAAAGCGUGGGGAGCAAACAGG
rnacentral:rRNA from 1 species